GGAUGUGAGGGUGAUCUGGCUGUGACAUCUGUCACCCCACUGAUCGCCAGGGUUGAUUUGACUGAUCUGGUUGGCUAGGCGGUGUCUCCUUCCUCCCUCACUGCUCCAUGUGUGUCCCUCCUGAAGCUGUGCGUUCAGUCAAAGAGGACAGUGUUCCCAAAUAGAGACAGACCGGUCUUUGGUUGAGGGUAUAGGAGUAGCUGCGCUCCCCUACUAGAACUGCCAAACAAGCUCUAACAACAACAACAGUAACAACAAGGGCAACAAAAUGGUAAAAAUAUCCUCCAGGAGGGGUGGA
rnacentral:snRNA from 1 species